UACGGGGGGGGGCAAGCGUUGUUCGGAAUUACUGGGCGUAAAGGGCGCGUAGGCGGUCUACUAAGUUGGAUGUGAAAACUCUGGGCUUAACCCAGAGCCUGCAUUCAAAACUGAUAGGCUGGAGUUCUGGAGGGGAUAGCGGAAUUCCUGGUGUAGCGGUGAAAUGCGUAGAUAUCAGGAGGAACACCGGUGGCGAAGGCGGCUAUCUGGACAGAAACUGACGCUGAGGCGCGAAAAGCGUAGGGGAGCAAACAGG
rnacentral:rRNA from 1 species